rfam:Culex pipiens quinquefasciatus supercont3.56 genomic scaffold, whole genome shotgun sequence.
GGCUCCGUGGCUUAACGGUUACGGCUUCUGCCUCACAAGCAGAAGGUUCAGGGAUCAAAUCCCAGUCGGUACCU